UGGGAACGUACCUUUUGGUUCGGAACAACCCAGGGAAACUUGGGCUAAUACCGGAUAAGCCCUUACGGGGAAAGAUUUAUCGCCAAAAGAUCGGCCCGCGUCUGAUUAGCUAGUUGGUGGGGUAAUGGCCCACCAAGGCUACGAUCAGUAGCUGGUCUGAGAGGAUGGCCAGCCACACUGGGACUGAGACACGGUCCAGACUCCUACGGGAGGCAG
rnacentral:rRNA from 1 species